UACGUAGGGUGCGAGCGUUGUCCGGAAUUAUUGGGCGUAAAGAGCUUGUAGGUGGUUUGUCGCGUCUGCUGUGAAAAUCCGAGGCUCAACCUCGGACUUGCAGUGGGUACGGGCAGACUAGAGUGCGGUAGGGGAGAUUGGAAUUCCUGGUGUAGCGGUGGAAUGCGCAGAUAUCAGGAGGAACACCAACGGCGAAAGCACUCUGCUGGGCCGACACUGACACUGAGAGACGAAAGCUAGGGGAGCGAAUGGG
rnacentral:rRNA from 1 species